rnacentral:rRNA from 1 species
GAAUUGACGGGGACCCGCACAAGUAGCGGAGCAUGUGGUUUAAUUCGAAGCAACGCGAAGAACCUUACCUAAGCUUGACAUCCCAAUGACAUCUCCUUAAUCGGAGAGUUCCCUUCGGGGACAUUGGGGACAGGUGGUGCAUGGUUGUCGUCAGCUCGUGUCGUGAGAUGUUGGGUUAAGUCCCGCAACGAGCGCAACCCUUGUCUUUAGUUGCCAUCAUUAAGUUGGGCACUCUAGAGAGACUGCCAGGGAUAA